rnacentral:rRNA from 1 species
GACAGAGGUGCCGAGCGUUAGGCGGAAUCACUGGGCUUAAAGCGUGUGUAGGCGGGCGGGCAAGUACCUUGUGAAAUCCCACGGCUCAACCGUGGAACGGCUGGGUAUACUGCCUGUCUUGAGCCAACUAGGGGCGAGCGGAACAGACGGUGGAGCGGUGAAAUGCGUAGAUAUCGUUUGGAACGCCGAUGGUGAAAACAGGUCGCUGGGGCUGUGCUGACGCUGAGACACGAAAGCCAGGGGAGCGAACGGG